CCACAGUUUUGCACAGAGAAAAAGUUGUUUUUCAUUUAUCCACAAUGCAUGAAAGAUACUCAUUGCAGAGAUACAGCAGACAUAAUAUAAAACAACAAUAUUAAUGUCAAUGCACAGAAAUAGAGAAAAAUACUGUAUAAAGUUGUUUUUUUAAAACAUUUUUUUAAUACAGCCAGUAAGAGACUCUAGCUUGCUUUAGUUAAAGGGACACUUAAGUCACCAAAACAACCUUAGCUUAUUAAAGUAAUUUGGCUGUAUAGAUCAUGCCCCUGCUGUCUCACUGCUCAAUUCUCUGCGAU